rnacentral:rRNA from 1 species
GAUGAACGCUAGCGGCAGGCUUAAUACAUGCAAGUCGAGGGGCAGCAUGAUUGUAGCAAUACAAUUGAUGGCGACCGGCAAACGGGUGCGGAACACGUACACAACCUCCCAAUAAGCGGGGAAUAGCCCAGAGAAAUUUGGAUUAAUACCCCGUAACAUAACGAUGUGGCAUCACAUUGUUAUUAUAGAUUUUUCGCUUAUUGAUGGGUGUGCGGCUGAUUAGAUAGUUGGCGGGGUAACGGCCCACCAAGUCUACGAUCAGUAGCUGAUGUGAGAGCAUGAUCAGCCACACGGGCACUGAGACACGGGCCCGACUCCUACGGGAGGCAGCAGUAAGGAAUAUUGGACAAUGGACGCAAGUCUGAUCCAGCCAUGCCGCGUGAAGGAUUAAGGUCCUCUGGAUUGUAAACUUCUUUUAUAAGGGACGAAAAAAGGCUUUUCUAAGUCGUCUGACGGUACCUUAUGAAUAAGCACCGGCUAACUCCGUGCCAGCCGCCGCAGUAAUAC